AGUCUUGCAGUGUAUUGAUUUUAAUAAAUUGGUAACAUUUCACCCAAACAGGUAUAUAAAUCCGAUAUAUUUAGAGCUCUAUAUAAAAGUGUGGUUUUACAAAGCGUAGUUUCUACACCAUUGUUGAAGAAUUUGGAUGAAUGGAAAUAAUUUGCUUUUGAGAAAUUAAUUUUAUGAAUAGCUAAAGGGGCUGGUUGCGUCUGAGACUAAAAUUCUGCUGGAGAAUUAGGCUAACAAAGGGUGAAGGUGAAGAUCAUGAGAGGUUUUAGAGCUGGCUGAGACGGGCUGGUUGGGUUGUGUAACUGUGCCUAGAGGGCGGGGUUCCUGUACAUUCCUACUUCACCAGAUAACCUGCCCCUCAACACCACUCCAGCUUCUGCCAGAAGGAUGGGACUCUCCAACGUGAAAAUCUGGGCAGCCAUUCCAACAAACAGGGGCUCUGGCCGAGGUUGUUGUCCGCUGGAAGCCGAGAAAAAGCUCUUGAGAAUUGGGAGCGCUCAUCCUCCGAGAUGGGAUGAAGACGGAGUUCACUUCAGUCUGAAAUUUGUUUCCUGGAGGCAGUAGAGCAUUCCUCUGAUUUCUUGUUUCACUGAUUUAAUGGAUGAUCCCUUCCAGCCCAAUUCAAGUUUCCAAAUACAGACUCCAUUGGUCUAAUAUGAGGUUUACUCAUUGAUCAGUACAGUGAAGGUUGACAUGAACAUCCACUUUGCAUCAAAGGAUAUCCACGAAUUGGUGUGCUGAUGGCAAACAGAAGUUUCCAAGCAAGAUGGAACCUGGGAGGAACAAUACUCCCCCAGUGCUCAUGAUGUGUCUCCAGAAAAAAUUGUUUAACCAUUCUUUAAAAGAAAAUUCUUCCCCCUACAGUAUCUUCCAGACUCUAAACUACAGUAUAAGUUCACAGGUUCACUCAGAUCACUUCCAUGUCUGAGUUCUUGGUCAUCUUCCCACACUUUGGCUCCACAGAUAAAAAAUAAAUAAUAAUAAAGGAAUAACUUUUUUG